rnacentral:rRNA from 1 species
UACGAAGGGCCCGAGCGUUGCGCGGAAUCAUUGGGCUUAAAGCGUGCGUAGGCGGACCCGUAAGUGCCUUGUGAAAUCCCACGGCUCAACCGUGGAACUGCUUGGUAGACUGCGGGUCUUGAGGCCGGUAGAGGUCGCCGGAACGUUAGGUGGAGCGGUGAAAUGCGUAGAUAUCUAACGGAACGCCCAAGGCGAAGGCAGGCGACUGGGCCGGUUCUGACGCUGAGGCACGAAAGCGUGGGGAGCGAACGGG